GCCAGUGUGGUAUAGAGGCUUGAAUGUUGGACUAUGACUCUAGAGAUCAGGGUUUGAUUCCCAGCUUGGCCA